GACGAACGCUGGCGGCGUGCUUAACACAUGCAAGUCGAACGGAAAGGCCCUACUUUUGUGGGGUUCUCGAGUGGCGCACGGGUGUGUAUCACGUGUGUAACCUGCCCUUGACUUUGUGGUAACUUCUGGAGACUCCGGCGAUUACCGGGUAUGAUCUCCUGCUCCACGGUGUUGGUUGGAAAGUUCGGGCGGUUGGGGCUGGUCUCGCGGCUUCUGCGCUUCUUUGUGUGGUUGUGGAUGUCCAGGGUUUUGAAGGGUAGGCGGCCUGGGAGGGGGACCGGCCACAUUGGGACUGAGAGACGGACCAGAAGCCUACGGGAGGCAGCAGGGGGGAAUAUGGCACAAUGGGCGGAAGCCUGAGGCAGCAACGCCGGGUGCGGGAUGACGGCCUUCGGGUUGUAAACCGCUUUCGCCUGUGACGAAGAGUGAGUGACGGUAAUGGGUAAAGAAGCACCGGCUAACUACGUG
rnacentral:rRNA from 1 species